rnacentral:tRNA from 1 species
GCCGGAUUAGCUCAGUUGGUAGAGCAGUGGUUUUGUAAACCAAAGGUCGCGGGUUCGACUCCUGCAUCCGGCACCA